UACGUAGGGUCCAAGCGUUAUCCGGAAUGACUGGGCGUAAAGAGAUGCGUAGGCGGCUUUGUAAGUGGCUAUUUAAAUCCCAUGGCUCAACCAUGUGGCUGGUAGCCAAACUACAGAGCUAGAGUAUGUGAGGGGUCGCUGGAAUUCCCGGUGUAGGAGUGAAAUCCGUAGAUAUCGGGAGGAACACCAAUGGCGAAGGCAGGCGACUGGCACAUUACUGACGCUAAGGCUCGAAAGCGUGGGGAGCGAACCGG
rnacentral:rRNA from 1 species